rnacentral:rRNA from 1 species
CACCGCGGUUAUACGAGAGACCCUAGUUGACUGACACGGCGUAAAGAGUGGUUUAGGAAACAACGAAAAUUAAAGCCAAAGUUCUUUCGAGCCGUCACACGCACCCCGAAGAUACGAAGCCCUAACACGAAGGUAGCUUUAUUAUUUACCUGACACCACGAAAACUGAGAAA